GUUUAAUUCAUAUAUCACCAGUGUGUGACGCAGAUCAAUUGGCUAAUGUGACUUUAACCUUAGCUCAAUUUGAAAAUGAAACUAGAUCGGCUGAUCUUAAUCAAUGUUUAACAGCAAUUGCCGCUACAACUUUUGUAGGCGUUAAAACCACAGUAGAUAUUAAAACUACUACCGAGAUUUAUACUAGUAAUUUGAUAUCUUCUACGACAAAUGUAUUAACCACAACGGCAAAUCCAUGCAUCAAAAUCUUUGAACAAUGUAAUAAAACUGCUGCCGUUAAUGUACACAAUAGUUGCGAUUUAUUAGACCUUCAUACAACGUGUUUCAAAAACAUGGCGAUGAUUUGUUCUGCAAAUCAGAUGGAUGAACUUUCAGCAUAUCUUGUAGUUGAAGCAGACAACAUUAAAGCCGAUGACCCUAAUGGGUGUUCUGCUAUCCCUCAAAUACUUUCAACUAGGGCCACAACUACUGAGGCUGUCCCUUUUGGAUGGCAAACCCGACAACCCGCAAGACAAGAGCGACCUAUCGUGCGGCGUCCUGCUUAUAAACCCAUUGUUGGUAUAACUCCAGGGCAUGCUGUACCGUCAGUUGUAAAGAGGCCUUUGGUCAGACCGAUAGUUCAAAGACCAAAUCCGGGACAGUAUAAAAAACCAGGUUUCACACCAGUUCACACACCUACGCGGCUUACAACUUAUCCCACUUCCCGAACUACAGUUCGAAGUGUACAAAGCUUGCCCGCUAAGACAUCACAACCAGUAGUUACUGCCGCUCCUAGAAGAUACAAAUCUGAUCCAGGUCUAAUACAAACACCGGA